AUGCUCUAACAUUCUUUAAAUUCUUUCCAGAUUAAAAAUGGAUCAAAAUUUCUCUAUCUUAAAAUGUGAGAUUUGGGGCAGCCCCGGUAGCCCAGUGGUUUAGCGCUGCCUUUGGCCCAGGGCGUGAUCCUGGAGACCCAGGAUCGAGUCCUGCGUCAGGCUCCCUGCAUGGAGCCUGCUUCUCCCUCUGCCUGUGUCUCUGCCCCUCUCCCUCCCUCCCUCCCUCCCUCCCUGUCUGUCUCAUGAAUAAAAUCUUAAAAAAAUAAAUUUAAAAAAUAAAUUUUAAAAAAUGUGAGAUUUGGCCUCAAUGUUAGAGUAAAUACAGACAUCGCAGAAGACUAGAAUAUGAAGGCACCUAACCAAAAAACAAACAAAACUGAAAUCUAACAAUAGGAAGCCGUAGACAUGAAGCCUGAGACAUUGUUUGUAAUUAUGUCUUCUAUAUUUGCCAUUAGCGCCUGAGUUGGGUAUGGCUGAAUGACAACAGUAUUAGAGUUCUUUGGAGAACAUAGAAUGCAACUUUCCAACUUAGAAUGAUAUGAAAAUGAUUUCAGAAUGCUUCUGCAUGGAGUUCCGCUUUACAUUUCACUAGAUGAGUGAGAAAAGGCUUCUGGAGAGGGUCUGGAAUACAAAGCUAAAGAGCUUCGACCUCAUUUAUAGACAAAAAAGAAGCCAAAGAUUUUUUUUUAAUCAAAUUAUGAUUGAAGGUACACUUGGGAAAAUCUUCUUCACUCAAUGAUGCUGAAAAGAGGCUCCUGAUCAACAAAACAGUGUUACUUACAACUGUGUUUAAGGCCCUUCCUGGAAGAGGUCAAGACCAUGGCUGUUUUCCUCAAUAUGAGUAGGAUUCCCAAAGUGGGGGAAAAGUUUCUCUUAUCUUCACUCUGCAAUGUGCUUGAAGCCAAGAUCCCAAGAUUUCCACGAAAACAACUGCUGACAAGAAUUCAGGAAUUAGCACUUCUCAGGUUCAUGAAAGACCAAGGGAGGAAAAAAAUCACAUUCAUUAAGACCAAGACGAGACAAGGGACUUCCCUGCAGGCACAACAUCACACGGGAGCCACCCCUGACCCACCCAGAGCUCAACACGGAAGAACAAGGGAGGAAGACCUCUGCCUUCGUGUCAGCCGUCCUCCCAACUCCUACCCAGUGGUCACAUCAACAUUAAGUUCUGACACUGAGGCAAUUGUCCACCUUCUGAAUCCCACCUCUCCAAGGCUGAAGCUGGGAAAACUCUCUUCCCUGCGUGGUUUGUGCAGGCUCGUGACUUGGAACAGUGCAGCAGCCUGGGUAUGCAGCUGGCCAUGGGCAUCCCGUGCAUUGGAUACAGAAGCCUUCGAGAUGGAGAGGGACUCAAGCUAAGGAUGCAUCCAGGACCAAAACGUUAUAAAGAGGAAGGAAAUUACCAGGAGUUUCCCAGCCACUCUCAAGUUUUUGCCAAGAGAGCACUAUGUGUUCUUCAGCAGACAUUCACUAGGUGUCUAGUAACAGGUGCUUUCCAAAGUGAUAUGAAAAACACACAAGAUUAAUUAAAGCAUGGCCUAUGUCUUCACCAAAUUUACAGCUUAAUAGAAAAGAUAGAACACAAUCAAAAAUAACCAUAAUGUCAGUGGAAGAUAAAUGCCGGGAGAAAAACAUAAAUAGAUUAGUUCUGACCGGGGGAAAAAAUGUCUCAAAGUACAAAUGAGACAUGCAGCUGCACAGAAAGAAUAUUCCAGGUGGAAGGAACAAGACAAAAAAAAAAAAAAUUCAAAGGAAUGAAAGCCUUGGUGCUGAAACACAGAAAAGCACGGUUUCACCCGAGGCCUUGUGAAGGGUAGAGCAGAGAUGUGACUGGAAAUAGAUUUUGAUUUCAAUCCCCGGCUCGGAAGUCAGAAUCAAAUCCUAGAGGCCACGAUCCUCUGGAGUAGAUGUCAUUACACUGACUUCUCGCUGUACUCUGGCCAGAGCAGGUGCUCAAUCAGCCCUGCCAAAUCAGCCCUGCCAAAUUCAUCAUUAUUUACUAUGAUAGAUCUUUUAUAUUAGUAG
rnacentral:lncRNA from 12 species